rnacentral:rRNA from 1 species
AUUGAACGCUGGCGGCAUGCCUUACACAUGCAAGUCGAACGGCAGCACGGGUGCUUGCACCUGGUGGCGAGUGGCGAACGGGUGAGUAAUACAUCGGAACGUACCUUAUCGUGGGGGAUAACGCAGCGAAAGCUGUGCUAAUACCGCAUACGCCCUGAGGGGGAAAGCGGGGGAUCGCAAGACCUCGCGCGAUUAGAGCGGCCGAUGCCUGAUUAGCUUGUUGGUGGGGUAAAAGCCCACCAAGGCGACGAUCAGUAGCUGGUCUGAGAGGACGAUCAGCCAACCGGGGACGGCGACACGGCCCAGACUCCUACGGGAGGCAGCAGUGGGGAAUUUUGGACAAUGGGGGCAACCCUGAUCCAGCAAUGCCGCGUGAGUGAAGAAGGCCUUCGGGUUGUAAAGCUCUUUUGUCAGGGAAGAAACACCGGCUCUAACACAGUCCGGGAAUGACGGUACCUGAAGAAUAAGCACCGGCUAACUACGUGCCAGCAGCCGCCGCGG